rnacentral:lncRNA from 1 species
GUUGGACCCUUGUGUUGGGGAUCUUGUACUGUCAGCUUGCAGCCACAAGGGGGUGCCUGUUUGCUGUGAAUGACUUAAAUUUUUCAGGCCCCGCAAAGAAAGAUAAGUUCUUCCGGAAAAUAGGCCUUAAGAUUUUCCCUCAGUGCUUUCCGUUCUAUUGAAUUUAAUGGUGACGUCCGUUCAGUUGUUCAGUAAACAUUUCCUGAGUACCCCCAUGUCGAAUCCAGUGUGCUAGGCACUGUGGGUAGGGAAGAAAUGAGAUGUUUUCCAGGCUUGUGACUCUCCGGCCCCGGCAGGAAAGGUCUGCAGACGUACAGGGAGUUUCCCGCGUCCCUAAGUAUGACUGUCAUACCUGCCAAUAGACGGGCUCCCCUUCCAGCAACAGGACGAGUCAGGGACUCCCUCACCCACCCCCUUGGUCCUCUGCCCAGCGCACUGGUUGGCUGUUCAGAGAGUAACACCUGGAAGCCGCUGUGCAAUAAUCAGUGUGUCUCCUAACCACACUGUUCGUGUUCUGGGUCGUGGAUACGGGCACCUGGCUGCCUGGAGACACAUGUCCCUGACCCCACAGUGACCACCGUGCAGUAGAGAAGAGGCCACCUCAGGCGCCUCUGUCUGAGUCUGCAGCCAGCCUCUCACGUGGCCAGGAGGCAGCCCAGAGGCCUUGUUCGAAGGUCUCCCCUGGCAUCUCUACUCCCAUCACUGGCCACCAUCAUCUUGAAAUGCCACAGGCCUGAAGACCAGCCAAAGCUUUCUUCUUCCAGGGCGUGUUUUUGCCUCGUGAAACCGAAGGACGCAACAAGGCCAAAGAUAAGAGGCUGCCAGCGUCUGUGUUACUUCAGGCCAGGGGGUCUCACGCUUGGCUCGACUGACGUUAGGGGGUGUGUAGUUCCUGGCUGUGGGCCUGUCCUGUGCACUGUUGGGUGUUGAGCAGCACCCCUGGCCUCCACCCGCAGAUGUCAGUAGCAUCCCCCAGUUGUGACAACUGAAAUGCCUCCAGACAUUUGAAAUGUCCCCUGGGGGACAAAAUCCGCCCUGGUUGAGGACCACCGCCCUAGGCCGUGGAUUUGGCUUCAGUCCUGGAAAUUGGAAAGGGACAGUGUACACGUGUGCAUUCGGCGCAUGGAGGGACUUCUAAGGGGCCCGUUGGCACGAGUCCUGGUUCUCUCCACCUUCUGCUGUGGGCUCUUCAUCAAGGACAGGAGAGGCCGAUCAGAUACAUCACUAGGUUGCUGUGGAUGACAGUCCGACCCCAGAAACGAAGAAUCCAGGCUUUCUAAAGCACAAGAGAAGAAAAAGGCUCAGCUCUCCUGUGUUCCUUAAUCCGUAUUUUUAUUGUGGUGCCUCAGCUCCUCAACGAAACAAAUAUUCGGAGAAGAGUAGCGUGAGUUCGACCAGUCUUGAGCCCGGGCCCUGCUGUAGGCUCUGUGAAAAGAGACAUGAACAAAGGGACAAGCGUCUCUGUCCUCCGGGCCCUGUGCUCUGGCAACGACAAGUAUGGCAUCGUGCAUAAUAUUAUAAAUUCUUGAGCCUGCUGCCGCCAAACGACUCUGCUCUUCCCCAGGCUCUGAUACAGCCCUGUGCUCAAUCCCCUUUACUUACCUUCACGUCCUAAGUUCUCAAAGCAGGGGACGCAGACAUCAAGCGGAGUUUUGUGCCCCUCGGAGCAUCUGAGGGGGACCCAGGUGCUCAUGGGUCCCGGGGCGCUGAGGCCUGAGGAGUGGGAGCCCUGUGCUUCUGUGUGUGACCACCGGCCCCGAAGCUGUGUCUGGGCCGGCCUAGGGGGUGGGCUGGGGGACGUUUGCAUGCCCUCCUGGAAUGCGUGCACUCGGGACUCGCAACACUUGGGCCCAAGACAUAAUUCUGGGACAAUAUUGGAGACGCUUUUGCAAAGUAUCCACUGCUCCUUUUUUAGCAUCUGAAAGACCUUGUCUCCUGG